rnacentral:rRNA from 1 species
GACGUAGGGCGCGAGCGUUGUCCGGAUUUAUUGGGCGUAAAGAGCGUGUAGGCGGCCAGGUAGGUCUGCUGUGAAAACUCGAGGCUUAACCUCGAGCUGUCGGCGGAAACCAUCUGGCUAGAGUCCGGAAGAGGAGAAUGGAAUUCCCGGUGUAGCGGUGAAAUGCGCAGAUAUCAGGAGGAACACCAAUUGCGAAGGCAGCUCGCUGGAACGUAACUGACGCUGAGACGCGAAAGCGUGGGGAGCAAACAGG